rnacentral:rRNA from 1 species
AUUGAACGCUGGCGGCAGGCCUAACACAUGCAAGUCGAGCGGAGCGGCGGACGGGGGAGUAAUGCCUAGGAAUCUGCCUGGUAGUGGGGGAUAACGUACGGAAACGGGCGCUAAUACCACAUACUAUCAGAUGAGCCUAGUGCGGAUUAGCUAGGUGGUGGGGUAAAGGCCUACCAAGGCGACGAUCCGUACCUGGUCUGAGAGGAUGAUCAGUCACACUGGAACUGAGACACGGUCCAGACUCCUACGGGAGGCAGAAGUUGGGAAUAUUGCGCAAUGGGCGCAAGCCUGAUGCAGCCACGCCGCGUGUGUGAUGAAGGCCUUCGGGUUGUAAAGCACUUUCAGCGAGGAAGCGUUACUCGCAGAAGAAGCCACGGCUAACUACGUGCCAGCAGCCGCGGUAAUUC